rnacentral:rRNA from 1 species
GAAUUCAACCGACAGCNGCGACGUAAUGCAUCUAAAAUUGGGACGUUCGGAUUCUAUGGACUCAGACUGAGACGCUCGGUCNGUACAGCCUAACACAUGCAAGUCGAACGGCAGCACAGGAGAGCUUGCUCUCUGGGUGGCGAGUGGCGGACGGGUGAGGAAUACAUCGGAAUCUACUCUGUCGAUGGGGGAAUAACGUAGGGAAACUUACGCAUAAUACCGCAUACGACCNUACGGGUGACAAGNCAGGGGAUCCUUCGGACCCUAUGACGCGAUUGAAUGAGCCGAUGGUCCGGAAUUAAGCUUUAGAUAUUGGGCCGGGAGGAUAAAAGGCCCAACCAAAAGGCGAACAGAUCCGUAAGCUAGGGUCCUAGCAGAAGUGACAUAGCAUCAAGUCCACAACAACUUGUGUAAACCUUGAUGNACAACCUGGAUCCAAUGAACNUCCNUNACAGUGUGAUGGGGGCAAAGGCACAAGUUCGAUGUGGAACA